rnacentral:rRNA from 1 species
UACAGAGGUCUCAAGCGUUGUUCGGAUUCAUUGGGCGUAAAGGGUGUGUAGGUGGCGCCGUAAGUCGGGUGUGAAAUUUCGGAGCUUAACUCCGAAACUGCAUUCGAUACUGCGGUGCUUGAGGACUGGAGAGGAGACUGGAAUUCAUGGUGUAGCAGUGAAAUGCGUAGAGAUCAUGAGGAAGACCAGUGGCGAAGGCGGGUCUCUGGACAGUUCCUGACACUGAGACACGAAAGCCAGGGGAGCAAACAGG